rnacentral:miRNA from 1 species
AUAUAUAUAUACACACACACACACUGUAUGUGUGUGUGUGUGUGUGUGUGUGUGU